UAUUCCUAUGUGGACGUGGAUUAAAAUUUGUUAAUACUAUAACGCUAAUUUUUUUUUUUUUGUGAUUUUCUCUUCUUCCUCAAUUAUUGUUUAACUUCAAUAGUCUAGUUUUGUGAUUUCUCUCUAAUUAUUUCUAUUUGUGACAAACAUUUUGCAUUGAAUUUGAUUGAGCUAUUUCUUUAUAAACUGGUUUGGUGACCGUAAAAUUUCAAUCAUCGUGAUUUUGUUGAGAAAUCCAUCACUCUAAAUGAUUUCGGUUCGUGAGGGUUGAAUAUGCGAACUUUUCCACUUUAACAAGGUCUCUUUAAAGUUUUGAAAGAUGAAUCUAAGUUUGUGGUAUUCAUGGCGGAGAAGGACAAGAUAAUAUUGUUUGAGAGAAUCACAAUGGAAUUGUUGUUAGCCUUGAUGAUAAGGUGUUUAAGAAAAGACUACAACAAAAUUAUGUACAAAGCUUGAGAACUUCUACAUGGCAAAGUUCUUGGUGAAGAGUCUAUACCUAAAAUAAGCCUUGUACUCAUCAUAUACUAAAACGAGCCCUGUACUAAUAUAAGAUGAGUUGUGAAGAGGUUAUUAUAGAACAACAUGAUGAUUUCAACAAGUUGAUCCUUGUUAUUUCUAGAAAUUUUAGAGAGCAUUUCCUAAAUACAUCAAUAAUUAAUAAAAAUAAAAUUGCAUGUGAUGGUCAUAUAUCAGGUUCCAAUCUAAGGUAGUAAAAAAAAAUGUAUUUAAACAAGAUUUGUCACUCUAUAAGACAUUGUAUUUUGGUGUAAGAGAAGAAACAUGGAUGAUGAAUAUCACCUAGCGAGGGUAUAGCUCAGUAAUUGAAGCUUCAUUUUCUGAUUCUUGAGCCGAUUUACGUAUUGAUUCACUUGAUCUUGUUUCCCGUGAAUUAUAAUCCCAUGACUGCAUCUCUGGAAGGCUUCUAGUUAUACUGUUCAUAUAAAAUGCUGGUUCUGCAGGAAUAGGGAGACUCAGAGAAUAGCUGUUAAGCAUCAGCACAAUGUUAGCCAUGGUUGGUCUGUCAACUAAAUUUUCUUGAACACAGAGUAAACCAAUAUGGAUGCAUCUCAGCAUUUCAUUCCGUGAAUUGCUGUUCAGUGACGGAUCUACAAUAUAUAUAGCCUUCCCCUCCUUCCAGUUUCUCCAAGCCUGCAAAAUUUGUCAUCAGAUUAUGGAUUCACUUCAACAUUUAUGUUUUGGUGCAUUUAAUCUUCUAAUCCGUAAUUAUAAUGGUGAUGAAGAAAUAACAGUUACAAAAGAAAGACUUACGAAGCUUAGUAGAUCUUCCACAUUCUCUCCAUUAUUAAUUCCACUGUUUUUCUGGCCGCUUACAAUCUCAAGAAUCAGUACACCAAAACUGAAGACGUCUGAUUUCACUGAAAAAUGUCCGUGCAUUGCAUACUCCGGUGCCAUAUAUCCACUACAGACCAAUCAUGACAGGAUUGUUAUUUUCGUUCUGUUUCAGUUACUAAUGCCAUUGGCAGCUUUGAAUCUGAAUUAGUAUUAAAAAAAUUUACGCUAUCACAGCCAUACGAAACAGAUUGAUUCUAACAACUACCUGAGAUUCAAACUCUUUAAAAAGUUACUAAUUCAUGAUUUGUUGAAAAUUAAUGAUAAAAGUUCUCUUCAAUUGUUGAUUGAAAUUAAAGUCUCAACCAUCAACAAGCUAUAACAUAUUGUAAUACUUACUAGGUUCCAACAAUUCUACUUGUAUUUGCUUGAGUUUGAUCCAUUAAAACCAGUCUAGCCAUGCCAAAAUCUGCUAUCUUGGGAUUCAUCUCUUGGUCUAAGAGAAUGUUGCUUGCUUUGAGAUCUCGAUGGAUAAUUCGUAGCUGAGAAUCUUCGUGAAGGUAGAGAACACCUCGAGCAAUACCUGUAAUGAUUUUGUAACGCUUUUCCCAAUCUAAUUGUGCUUUCAUUGUUGGAUCUGCAUAUAGCCGCCAACAGUUUUAACGUUAUGAAUAAUUAGGUGUGUGUUGAGCAAGAAGGGAAAUAUAGAAGAGCAAUUAUAAAGUUACCAAAUAUGAAAUAAUCAAGGCUUUUAUUGGGAACAAAUUCGUAGACAAGUAGUCUUUCUCUUCCUUCCAAGCAGAAACCAAGUAGCCUAACUAAAUUUCGGUGCUGAAGCUUGACCACUAAAACCACUUCAUUCUUAAAUUCCGUAUGUCCUUGCCCGGAAUCUCUUGACAGCCUUUUGACUGCAAUUAUCUGUCCAUUGGGGAGUCUACCCUGAAAAUAUGUCUCUCUUAGUAAAUAAUUUGCUAAGUGCUGUUAUAGCAUGUUUUGAUGAUGUGUGUCGGAAUCAACAGGGUUACUUACCCAGUAAACUGCUCCAAAUCCACCUUGUCCAAGUUUAUUAGAAUCAGAAAAGUCCUCGGUAGCAACUCGUAUUGUGUCAAAGUUGAAUUGCAAUGAUUCAGCCAUUUUAAUUUCAUCCUCAUCUUCAACGUCAUCUUCUUCUUUAACUUCACGAGGGAAACGAUUUAAACAAGUUAGUUUUUCUUAUACGUUCGAAGAACAAUACCGCUGUGGGUGGUGCAUUCGGGGGAUGUUCGUCUGCUUAUAACUUAUUGUAACAAUAUAGGAGUAAAUUAAACAUAAAAUAUCACAAUAAAUUGAUAACUGGACUUGCCUGCAAGAUUUUUUCUUGCCUUCAACCUCCUUAAGUAUAGGAAGAGAGAAAUGAGGAAAAGAACAACAACAACAGUAGGCACAACUACCGCAAUGGCAAUUAUUGUUGUGUUGUCACUUUCUGCAGAAACAAGAAUCCUUUGCCGGGUAAGAAAUUUCAAGGAUGAAGAAUUGAAAAAUACCAAAAUGCCUAAUUACAAGUUAGUUACAGAGGAAGUGGGCAGUGUAAAUAGGCUAUAAGGAAAAUUGAGAAGAAAAGUAAGUACCUUGUGAGGAAGUGGUAUUGGUGGAGGGAGGAGGUGCCUCCGGAUCUGUGUCUAAUGUAGUUGGAUUUCCGUAGAAGCUGUUAGUUUGGAAUCUAAUAUUACAACUUGGUCUAAGAACUCUACCACCUAUCUUGCCAUUGCAGCAGUUUGGGAUCUCUGAGAUAGCCGUAUCUAAGCAUUGAGUACACCUUUGCUGAGAUAAAUCAGGGGUGCACUGCACAAGCCCAUAUAUGGUUUGAAAAUUUAAACCAGUUGCAUUUUCCGCUGUAGCAUACUUACGACGGGAGUCACCUGAUGCAGCUGUGUCUAUUAGGCUCUUCAUUAAGUUCCCGAGCACUUCAUUGAACUGAUUCGCGUCUGUUGCAUUUGGUUGGUUCCACAUGUAAUAAGUAGGAGAAAUUUCCAUUUGAUUGAAUAUUGUGUCGUUAGAGUAGCGCAACAUGCAUUGAUCGGACCACAGAAUUGCCUUUUUCUGGUUUGGACACCUCUCUGUUAUAUCGACUCUGGAAUUGUUGAGGCAGCUGCGGCACUCCUCUGGCUGUUGGUCUCCUCUGCAGAGCCCUAUGGCGUAUACUGUGUCAGUGUUUUGGCCAUAUGAAAAGUUGUAGAAACCGUAUUCAAUUUGUGUGUUGGAAGAGAGUGUGGAUAAAAGCGUGUUGAGGUUGGUGCUGUAGGUGCUGUUGGCUGUGUAGUUGCCGUGGCCGUCGUCACAUAUAACGUUCUGGGCGCUGCCUAGGGAUAUAAAUUUUAGAAAUGUAAAAGAAAGAAAAAGAAUAAGCAUGAAGGAGAGUGCUGCCAUUCUGAUAUUUGUGUGGGUAAUCAGAUUCAGAUUAACAAAGAGAAUAUUGAAGCUUUGGGUCAUAUACUAUUCAUUUCUAAUUUUGAUUCCAUACUAUAUCUAUGGCAUUCUUUGAUUUUUAUGCUCUAUUUAUUGAAUAAAUGUUUACAUACUAUAAUUUAAUAAGUGGUUCAAUCAAAUAAUGCAUUCUUAAUUCAAUCUAAGUGAUUUUGUAUUACGACAUUUGAAGGAAGGUAAUAACAGAGUCAACAGCGACCGAAGUACGUAAAGAGAGAGGAGGAAACACGAAUAAACUAAUACACUGUUUUGAGUCGGAGUACCAAGAAAAGAUGCAAGAAAUGGCAGCCAUAGGUAUGAUAAUGUCCAUUGCCCAAAGAUUCCUUCUGACACUUUAUAAUCAAAAUUUCCAUCCAUCAUUUCCAGGAUCAUGCCCCUUCGUCUACUUGUCAUUUAAUGUUACAUAUUUUAUAACUAGUAGUAAGAUUUCGAUAUAUUUUAAUCAUAAUCAAAUAAUUUAACGUUGCCUUCUCUUAUAUCAAUUGACACUUGAAGAGUAAACAAAUAUACAAAUAUUUUUUAUUUUUUUUAAAAGAAGGCUUUAUGGUCAGACCUGUGAAGGUGUACCUUUUAAAGAGUAAAAUAAUAAUAAUAAUGAGGCGCAAAUUGUUGAAAAUUUUCAAUGGUCAGAGUUGUAGAGUUAUGAAUGAAUUAGCCGACGCGGACAGAAAAGCAAUAUGGGUAAAGUUGAGAGAAAAACAAAGAAAGAUAGAUGGAUGAAGAAGGAGGGAAGCACCUAGUUUGCAAUAAAAUAAGAAUGUUUGAAUUUUAAUGUUUGAAAAAUAAAUUAUUAUACUAUUUAAUAAUUAAUCUAAUAAAAAUUACAUUUAAUCAAUUAAUUUUAUUAUAUAUUUUUAUAUUAAUAUAUAAUAAAUGAUAAUUAACUAUUUUUAAAUAUAUUUUAUUAUUAUAAUAAAAGAAUAAUUAAAAUAAUAAAUAAAAUAAAAAUAAUUUUUAUACAUUUUGUAAUUUAUUUUAAUAUAUAUUUAUUGUAAAUAUAAUUUUUUAUUUAUUAAUUUUUUUAAUAAUUUUCCAUUUUAAUUAAAUUUUAUUUUAAUUUAUAUUUAUAUUUUUAAAAAACUUUUUUGACAUUAAAUUGUUUUAUAAAUAUUUUUUAAAAUAUAUUAAUAUACAAUUAAAUUUAUUUUAUUCCAUCAAUCAAACUUAUUAUAAACUUUUUUUCUCACUUUUUUUUUUCUCAAUUCAAACAAUUUCAAUUUUGUCUUUUUUUUCUUUUUCUCUCUUCUUUUAAUUUAGAUUAGUUGAGUUAGAAAAGAAAAAAUGGAUGGAUUAUGAAACCUAUCAUUAAAUUCAACCUAGGUAAAAAAAUAAAUAAUACUGUUGACUACUUCAUCUGAUAUUAAAAAAGUAAUCUACAAAAUAUGUUGGUGAAUAUAUUAUGUUAAUUAUAAAGAGAAAAAAUUAACAUAAUUAAUUAUAAGUAUUUAUAUAAAACAUCUUAAUUUUUAAUCUCUCACAUUUAUAUGAUUUUAUUUCCAAAGUCGAAUUUGGAGUAUUAUGUCGUAUAAAUAAAUUUUUUAUUUUAUGUAAUUUCUUUUAAAAUUAGAGAUUUAUAAGCUCUAUAUAUAAGAUAGGUGUAUUGCGUAAAAGGUUAUCAUUUUUUAAGAGUAUUUCUGAGAAAACCUGUAGAAUAUACCAAAAGUAUCGCACUAAUAGUUUUCAUUAUAAAAAAACAUUACAUCCACUUGAUAAUUAUUUUAAUAAUAUAAUAAUAUAUAUUGAUAUUUUAAUUGAUAUAUUUUAGGCCUAUACGAGCAAAGGGAAGUUUGGGCAUUGAUGAUCAUACACCCAAAGCUUCGAUAUUCUGUUUGUGAUUCUGAAUGGCAGCGCUCUCCUUCAUGCUUAUUCUCUUUUUUUCUUUUCCAUUUCUUGUAUCUCUUGGCAGCGCUCAGAAGUACGUAUGUGAUAAGGGCGGCAACUACACAGCCAACAGCACCUACAGCACCAACCUCAACACCCUUUUAUCCACACUCUCUUCCAACACACAAAUUGAAUACGGUUUCUACAACUUUUCAUAUGGCCAAAACACUGACACAGUAUACGCCAUAGGGCUCUGUAGAGGAGAUCAACAGCCAGAGCAGUGCCGCAGCUGCCUCAACAAUUCCAGAGUCGAUCUAACACAGAGGUGUCCAAACCAGAAAAAGGCAAUUAUGUGGUCCAGUGAAUGCAUGUUGCGCUACUCUAACGACACAAUAUUCAAUCAAAAGGAAACUUUUCCUCGUUAUUACUGGUGGAACACAGCAAAGGUAAGAGAAGUGGAUGUGGAUCAGUUCAAUGAAGUGCUAGGGAACUUAAUGAAGAGCCUAAGAGACAUAGCUGCAUCAGGUGACUCCCGUCGUAAGUAUGCUGCGGGAAAAAAUACAACUGGUUUAAACUUUCAAAACAUAUAUGGUGUUGUGCAGUGCACCCCUGAUUUGUCUCAGCAAGAUUGUUAUCAAUGUUUAGAUGGGGCCAUCUCGGAGAUCCCAAACUGCUGCAAUGGCAAGAUAGGUGGUAGAGUUCUUAAACCAAGUUGUAAUCUUAGAUUCGAAAGUAACAGCUUCUACGAAAAUACAACUACAUUAGACCCAGAUCCGGAGGCACCUCCUCCCUCCACCAAUACCACUUCCUCCACCAAUAACACUUCUUCCACCAAUAACACUUCCUCCACCAAUACCACUUCCUCACAAGGUACUUCUUUUUCUUCUCAAUUUUCCUUUAGCCUUAUUAUUGCAUUUCACCCAAACCUCACUUCAUAAUCCACUUUUAACACAUUUUCUUCUUUCUGGAGUUGUUUUCCUUAUUCAUCCCAUGGAGUUUAAAUUAUUGCCACUGCCCACUUCCUCUGUAACUAACUUGUAAUUAGGAAUUUUGGUAUUUUACAAUUUUUCAUCCUUGAAAUUUCUUACCGGUCAAAGGAUUCUUGUUGCUGCAGAAAGUGACAACACAACAAUAAUUGUCAUUGCCGUAGUUGUGCCAACUGUUGUUGUUCUUUUCCUCAUCUGUCUCUUCCUUUACUUAAGGAGGCUAAAGGCAAGAAAAAAUCUUCCAGGCAAGUCCAGUUAUCAAUAUAUUUUUAUGUCCAAUUUAAUCCUAUAUAUUCAUAGUAAAUUAGAAACAGACAGACACCCCCGAAUGCACCAGUAGCGGUUUCGAAAAACUGACUAGUUUAAAUCUGUUUCCCAUGUGUAGUUAUAGAAGAUGAUGAAGAUGAGGAUGAAAUUAACAUUGUUGAGUCAUUGCAAUUCAACUUUGACACAAUACGAGUUGCUACCGAGGACUUCUCUGAUUCUAAUAAACUUGGACAAGGUGGAUUUGGAGCUGUUUACUGGGUAAGUAAUCCUAUUGAUUCAGACACACGUCAUAAAAAAUAUGCUAUAACAGCAGUUAGCAAAUUAUUUACUAUACCUGAGAGAGAGAUAUUUUCAGGGUAGGCUCUCCAAUGGACAGAUAAUUGCAGUCAAAAGGUUGUCAAGAAAUUCCGGGCAAGGAGAUACGGAAUUUAAGAAUGAAGUGGUUUUAGUGGUCAAGCUUCAGCACCGAAAUUUAGUUAGGCUACUUGGUUUCUGCUUGGAAGGAAGAGAAAGACUACUUAUCUAUGAAUUUGUUCCCAAUAAAAGCCUUGAUUACUUCAUAUUUGGUAACUUUAUAACUGCUCUUCUAUAUUUCACUUCUUGCUCAAUAAAACCUAAUUAUUCAGAGUUAAAACUGUUGGCGGCUAUAUAUGCAGAUCCAGCCAUGAAAGCACAAUUGGAUUGGGGAAAGCGCUUCAAAAUCAUUACAGGUAUUGCUCGAGGUCUUCUCUACCUUCACGAAGAUUCUCAGCUACGAAUUAUCCAUCGAGAUCUCAAAGCAGGCAACAUUCUCUUAGACGAAGAGAUGAAUCCUAAGAUAGCAGAUUUUGGCACGGCAAGACUGGUUUUAAUGGAUCAAACUCAAGUAAAUACAAACAGAAUUGUUGGAACCUAGUAAGUAUUACAAUAUCUUAUAGCUUGUUGAUGGUUGAGAAUUUAAUUUCAAUCAAUCAUCGAAGAGAACUUUUAUCAAUAACUUUUACCAAAUCAUGCAUUAGUAAGUGUUUAGUUUGAAUCUCAGGAAGUUGUUAGAAUCAACCUGUUUCGUAUGGCUGUGAUAGCGUAAAAACGUUUAACACUAAUUCAGAUUUAAAGCUGACAAUGCCAUUAGAAACUGAAACAGAACGAAAAUAAUAACCCUGUUCAUAUUGGUCUGUAGUGGAUAUAUGGCACCGGAGUAUGCAUUGCACGGACAGUUUUCAGUGAAAUCAGAUGUCUUCAGUUUUGGUGUACUGAUCCUUGAGAUUGUAAGCGGGCAGAAAAAUGGUGGAAUUAGUAAUAGAGAGAAUAUGGAUGAUCUACUGAGCUUCGUAAGUCUUUCUUUUGUCACUGUUAUUUCUUCAUCGCCAUUUAAAACUAUGAAGUGAAUCCAUGAUCAUGAUGUGAUGACAAAUUUUUCAGGCUUGGAGAAACUGGAAGGAGGGGAAGGCUAUAAAUAUUGUAGAUCCGUCACUGAACAGCAAUUCACGGAAUGAAAUGCUGAGAUGCAUCCAUAUUGGUUUACUCUGUGUUCAAGAAAAUUUAGUUGACAGACCAAACAUGACUAACAUUAUGCUGAUGCUUAACAGCUAUUCUCUGAGUCUCCCUAUUCCGGCAGAACCAGCAUUUUAUAUGAACAGUAGAACUAGAAGCCUUCCAGAGAUGCAGUCAUGGGAUUAUAAUUCACGGGAAACAGGAUCAAGUGAAGCGAUACUUAAAUCGGCUCAAGAAUCGGAAAAUGAAGCUUCAAUUACUGAGCUAUACCCUCGCUAGAUGUUGGAUUCAUUCAUCAUCCUUCUUUCUUCUCUUACAACAAAAUACAAUGUCUUGUAGAUGGCAAGAUCUAGUUUAAAUACAUUUUCUUGUAGUCUAAUUAAUUUAUAUCUUUAGUUAAUAUGCAGUUUCAUUUUUAUUAAUUAUUGAUGUAUUUAUUAAAUGGUCUCUAAAUAUCCAGAAAUAUCCCAUGUUCGAUAUUAUGAUAUGUCCGUAUAAUGAUUUACUAUGUGGUGGUCAGAUAAUUAAAUGAUUUAAAUAUGACAAAUUAAUGUCUGAAAAUAUUUAAACACAACAAUAAUCAAGAAUAAAAUAUUCCUGCUGCAUAGGGAUGGAAGAAGUGUAUAUUUAUUUAGUUUUUCACUGACUUAUCACAUGCGAAAAAGGACGGUUCUCGGAGUUUACGACAAGAAAAUACGUUUUAAAAUAACUCGACACCAAUAAAAUAAAAUAGAAUAUUUUUAAUGUACAAUUUUAAAUAAAUUUAUUUUUUAAUUUAAAAUAUCAAUAUAUAUUAUUAUAUCAUUAACAAUAGUGGUCAAUAAUUUCUUUGAUUUCGUAUUAUUUAUUUUUAAUUUCGAUUUCAUACUAUAUCUAUGGAAGCCUUUAAUUUUUAUGUUUUAUUUACUGAAUUAAUAUUUACAUUCUAUAAUUUAAAGGAAAAACAGUGGUUCAAUCAAAUAAUGCAUUUUUUAAUUCAAUUUAAGUGAUUUUGUAUUAUGCAGUCAAGAUUACGAACUUUGAACGAAGGUGGUGGGAGUCAACGGCGACUGAAGUGAGUAAAGACAGAAAAGGAAACAAACACUACCAAAAAAAUAAGCUGUUUUGAAUGGGAGAACCAAGACUUUUUCUUUUGUCUAGAAAUUACAAAUAUAAAUUAAUGGUAAAAUAAACUUAACAUUUGAAAAGCCCAUUUUAUUAUUUUCUUUAUUAGUAAUUGGCUAUUGUGACAUGUCUUACUAAAAAUAUUAUUAUAUUUGUCUUAAUUAUGUUUAAGUUGAUCAAAUUUGGAUGAAUAUGAAUAUGGUUUUGAUACCAACUGUUUUUAAAAAUCUCAAAUUUAAAAAUUUACUGUUUUAGUUCUUUAAAUUUAUUGUUUAGAAACUUGAAAUAUUUUUUAGAAAAUUUAAACAAUGAAAUAGUUUUUUAAAAAAUUGAAAAACUUAAAUCAGAUUUAUUUCAAAAUUUAAAGACUAAAAAUAUAAGUAAAGUUAAAUUUUAAUGUUUAAAAAAAGUGCAUCGAACUUUUUUUAUGUUUUUCAUAUCUCCUUCGUCCAACUAUUCAUUCAAGGAUUUUUGAAAAAGUCUACACUAAAUGUCAUCCAUAAUUUUAUUUUUAUAUAUAACUUUUACUUUAAUAGUAAUGUAAUCUUAAUGAAUUUUACUUUAAAUUAACACUACAAGAACAUCAUGAAAUAGAAACCAAUUUUUAGAAACCUAAAUAAUUAGUUGCAAUAGAAGACUAUUUUAGAAACUAAAAAAAUAGUUUCUAAAUUAGUUUAUAAUAUUGUUAAAUAGUUUUUAAAUUGGUAUCUAAUUAGCAAUCAAGGUUUUAACUAUCAAUUAUUUAGUUUCUAAAUUUGGUAGCAAAAAUCUUGGUUGCUAAUUAGAUACCAAUUUAUAAACAAUCUAACAAUUAUAAAAACUAAUUUAUAAAUAUUUUUUUUAAGUUUCUAAAAUGAUUUCUAAUUUAAUUACUAUUGCAACUAAUUAUUUUAAUCUCUACUGAUUUUUAUAUUGAUUUUUAUUUCAUAAUUUUAUUGUAGUGUAAUUUUAUCUUAAUUAUAAAAAAAAAGACAUAUCUUAAUGUAAAUAAUUUAUUUUGAUAAUUUUUCUUUAAUUUUCUUUUGGUUUACCGUUUUUCCUGUAAUUUUUUUAUCUGCAAAAAAUUAAUAAAAUAAAAUGAGAUACUUAAAUAUUAAAAAGUGUCCCAAAUUUUAUACAUAACAAGUUCUAGUUAAAACAAACAACAAUAACAUAAAAGAGUUAAGGUUUAAAGCACUUAACACUAAAGGGGUUAAACUAAAGAGGAAUCUCAAUCCAAAGAACUUGAUCUGCACAUAAACCAGCAGAAAAACAGACCACUGUAAUUAGCAGUUACUGGAAAGACGCGAAAUAAGAAAUCCCUCCCAUCCCUUUUCAUCUUGACAGAGCCAGCUGCAUCUUAAAGCAUCAUAAAAUGGCAAGAAGGAGACCCCAGCCUCUACUGCUAGAUAGAUUCCAUAGCCUCUUACUUCGUACUUCAUGUCAUAAUCACUACUUUAAUCCUGCUAAAUUCUUGAUUUCACCUUGGAACUACCUCAGCUGCCAUCAAGUUUAUCUAUAACAGCAGCAACCACUGAGUGAACUAGUCGCACCAGCAUUUCAGCGUGUAGUACCCUGCAUCCCUGCAAUUUGAUUAUGUUGUACCCGCAUAAACAAGACUGUUCUUACUAAGAUGCUCGUCACCCUAUUCUUGUGCGUCCUUGGAAGCAAAUCUUUCAAAGCAUUUGUAAUAGGCGUUGCCAUCAAAGCAAACUUGGAUAUGGGAUUAACCAAGGUAGUGUAUAUUGCUAAUUUUGAGCUAACUUUGUCCAGAGAGGCAGGUUUAAUGUUACUUGUCAUUCAACCUUAUCACCAAACAUUAAAUAACCAAUUAUAGCCAUGGAUGCAUAACCCACAGUGGUUAUGAUAAAACAUACAAGCAGGACGUUAGAGAACUGAUGUUUGUUUGUCAUAGAAUUGUACAAUGUGGGAAACAGAGGAUGUGCACAGUAACAAAAUGCAUACAAGCUAACAGCUGUGGGGAGAACAUUCCAAUUCACGAGAGUUCCUUUCUGCUGAAAACCAACUCCAUCAACUGUUGCAGUCCAUAUUAUUGAAAGGAUGAUGACAGCAGAAGCAAAGACUCCACUUGCAGAUAAAUAAGAGAGUAGACUCAAGUUAUCCAACCAAACUGUGGGCAAGAUGAUAAGGGCAACCAUUAUCACAAAGAAUUGCUUCCCACCAAUUGCUAAGCCACCUAUAGUUCCUUAAGUUUAUUUUCAUGUAAUAAAAAAAGUUAAAUACUGAAAGCAAAAUUGCCUAUUUUUUGAGUUUGACUGUUUUUUCUGUUGUUUAAUGUAAAGUGUCUUCUUUCAGUCAUUGGAAGGGAAUAAACGUCACCUUGUAUGUAGAAUUUAUAGAGUGGAUUUUGUUAAACAAAAACUCAUUAUUUUUCUAUAUUUUGAAUUGAUUUAGAUGAAAAUUUAUUUCAAAGUAUGUUGCUUUGUUUACAAAUGUAAACGGAAUGAACCAUAUACAAAUGAAGUGCCUUGUAUGUUGCUUCGAAAAAAACCAAGUAAUUAGGUGUUGAAACUUGACCCCUUUGAAUAUAAUCACUUGUUUUUUGAAUUUGUCAUCUCCUUCUGCGGAGUGGGUGAGAAUUAACGCAGAUUUGAAAGAAAGUAUACACUUUGCAAUUAAUGUUUUACAGUUUAAACACAAAAGAGACCAUCCUCUUGUUUUGGUAUUUCUACCUGCUCCUCACCGCUUAGAAAUAUUAGAAAAUGUCAAACUUUCAUGCGCGUGCUCAUGCACAAUAUCACAUUUUUGCCAUCCAUCUAAAGAUAACCAAAUGAAAAAAUUAUUACCAUUAAUUUCUCCAUGUAUUAGCCUCAUUAUCGCUAUGUUUAAUCAAAUUAUCUCGAAAAUGAAAAAUUAAUUCGUAGUGAAAAAGCUGUUAAAUUAGUUUAUUAUAUCAUAAAUAUUUUAUAAGAUUAUUUAUCAAGUUAUUAGUUGACAAAUAUAAAUGAUAGAAAUUGAUGUAUUAAUUUUAAAUUUUAAAAAAAAUUCAAACCAAUUUCUUUUAUUAAAUGUUUUAGUUUCAAUCAUUUUUUAUGUUAUGUAAUUUACUAUUCAUCUUAAGUUAUAUUUUAAAAUAUUCCCUUCAAUCAAAUUUUAAAUAAAAUAAACAUCAUAUAUUUAAGUAUAUUUCAUACUUCCAACAAUAUGAUUAAUAUAAGGUUGAAAUUAACCAUGUAAUCUAGCAAUGAUUUAGCUGAUAACACCCCGAAAAGAUAAAAUUAAACAUACACUAAGGCUAAAUUGUAUUUGUAUUCACCGAGAUCAGAACCAACGAGUAACAAAAUACUCAUGAGCAAACACUAUAUACCUCCUUUAACAGAACCAAUAGCCAAAAACAGAACCAAACAACACAAGUUUUACUAGCUUACAGAUAGCAUGUAUUUAUAUUUAAUAUGUGAUGGAAAAAUAAUGUUUUUUUUCCUUUUUAUUAUAAAAAUAAAAAUACGACUAGUGUAAUUUUUUUAUAUUAAGUGUAUAAAAAUUAUACCCGCUUUAUAAAAAAAUAAGUACAACAUAUUUAAAAGCAUAAAUAUAUCUAAAUGUGCUAGACUAUCUAAUCUGUUAUAUAAUUCCUACCAUGUUUGAUGGAUGGUUUCAUUAGACCGUCUAAUCUCUUAAUGUUUGUUGAGUUAUGAAUUAUUUUGUAAAACUCUGUAGAGUUUGCCUUGUAGUGAAAAACAUUGUUUACAUGUCUUUCUCGUUAAUUUAGAUGUGUUUCGUGUGUGUUAUAACAAUAUUUGCAUUAAAAAUGAAACCUUAUUUUUUUUUUUUUUUUGAUCAGCAAUAAAUAAAUAAAAUUAAGAGGGAUACUUCAAUAGAAUUUAAUGAAACCUUAUACCUUCAAUAGAAGUUAACUUUUGAGUUUAACCUUAGUGAGAAUUGGUUAAGAGAGGAAUCAUUAAGUUGUAAUUUUUAUGGUAUAGUAAAUUUAUCUGUAGACGUGGAUUAAAGUUAAAUAAUAUUACAACCGAACCAUGUUAACUUUUUUUUUUAUGAUUCUCUCUUCUUCCUCGCUUACUGUUUAACUUCAACAAUCUAGUUUUGUGAUUUUUCUGUUAUUGUUUCUAUUUGUGUGACAAACGUUUUGUAUUGAAUUUGAUUGAGUUAUUUUCUUAUAAAUGGUUUAGUGAGCAUGAAAUUUUAAUCAUUGUAACUUUGUCAAGAAAUUCACCAUUCUAAAUGAUUUUGGAUUGUGCCGGUUGAAGAUGAAACUUUUCUAGUUUAACAAGGUCUCUUUAAAGUUUUGGAUGAUGAAUCUAGGUUUGUUGUAUCCAUGGCGGGGAAGGACAAGAUAACAUUGUUAGAGAGAGACAAGUCUUGAAAGAAAAGACUACAACAAAAUUAUAGACAAAAAUUGAAAACUUCUGCAUGGGAAAGUUAUUGGUGAAUAUUCUAUACCUAAAACAAGCCUCCUAUUCAUUCAUAUAAGAUAAGUUGCGAAGAAGUUAUUAUAGAACAUCAUCAUGAUUUCAACAAGUUGAUUACUUGUUAUUUCUAGAUAUUUUAGAGAACAUUUACUAAAUACAUCAAUCAUUAAUAAAAAUAAAAUUGUAUAUUAAUUAAAGAUAUAAAUUAAUUUGACGACAAGAAAAUCAUUAAUAAGCUAAAUGAUGGUCAUAUAUCAGGUUCCGAUCUAAGGUAGGAAAAAAAAAGUAUACGACAUUGUAUUUUGGUGUAAGAGAAGAAACAUGAACGAUGAAUAUCAUCUAGCGAGGGUAUAGCUCAGUAAUUGAAGCUUCAUUUUCCGAUUCUUGAGCCGAUUUAAGUAUCGGUUCACUUGAUCCUGUUUCCCGUGAAUUAUAAUCCCAUGACUGCAUCUCUGGAAGGCUUCUAGUUCUACUGUUCAUAUAAAAUGCUGGUUCUGCCGGAAUAGGGAGACUCAGAGAAUAGCUGUUAAGCAUCAGCAUAAUGUUAGUCAUGUUUGGUCUGUCAACUAAAUUUUCUUGAACACAGAGUAAACCAAUAUGGAUGCAUCUCAGCAUUUCAUUCCGUGAAUUGCUGUUCAGUGACGGAUCUACAAUAUUUAUAGCCUUCCCCUCCUUCCAGUUUCUCCAAGCCUGCAAAAUUUGUCAUCAGAUUAUGGAUUCACUUCAACAUUGAUGUUUUGGUGCAUGUAAUCUUCUAAUCCCUAGAUAUAAUGGUGAUGAAGAAAUAACAGUGACAAAAGAAAGACUUACGAAGCUUAGUAGAUCUUCCAUAUUCUCUCCAUUAUUAAUUCCACUGUUUUUCUGGCCGCUUACAAUCUCAAGAAUCAGUACACCAAAACUGAAGACGUCUGAUUUCACUGAAAAAUGUCCUUGCAUUGCAUACUCCGGUGCCAUAUAUCCACUACAGACCAAUACUGACAGGAUUAAUAUUUUCGUUCUAUUUCAGUUACAAAUGCCAUUGACAGCUUUAAAUCUGAAUUAGUAUUAAAAAAAAAUUACACUAUUACAGCCAUACAAAACAGAUUGAUUCUAACAACUACCUGAGAUUCAAACUCUUGAAAAAGUUACUAAUUCAUGAUUGGGUGAAAAUUAAUGAUAAAAGUUCUCUUCAAUGGUUGAUUGAAAUUAAACUCUCAACCAUCAACAAGUUAUAACAUAUUGUAAUACUUACUAGGUUCCAACAAUUCUACUUGUAUUUGCUUGAGUUUGAUCCAUUAAAACCAGUCUUGCCAUGCCAAAAUCUGCUAUCUUAGGAUUCAUCUCUUGGUCUAAGAGAAUGUUGCUUGCUUUGAGAUCUCGAUGGAUAAUUCGUAGCUGAGAAUCUUCGUGAAGGUAGAGAAGACCUCGAGCAAUACCUCUAAUGAUUUUGUAACGCUUUUCCCAAUCUAAUUGUGCUUUCAUGGCUGGAUCUGCAUAUAGCCGCCAACAGUUUUAACGUUAUGAAUAAUUAGGUGUGUGUUUAGCAAGAUGUGAAAUAUAGAACAGCAGUCAUAGAAGGUACCAAAUAUGAAAUAAUCAAGGCUUUUAUUGGGAACAAAUUCGUAGACAAGUAGUCUUUCUCUUCCUUCCAAGCAGAAACCAAGUAGCCUAACUAAAUUUCGGUGCUGAAGCUUGACCACUAAAACCACUUCAUUCUUAAAUUCCGUAUCUCCUUGCCCGGAAUUUCUUGACAGCCUUUUGACUGCAAUUAUCUCUCCAUUGGGAAGUUUACCCUGAAAAUAUCUCUUUCUCAGGUAUAGUAAAUAAUUUGCUAACUGCUGUUAUAGCAUGUUUUGAUGAUGUGUGUCUGAAUUGAACAGCGUUACUUACCCGGUAAACAGCUCCAAAUCCACCUUGUCCAAGUUUAUUAGAAUCAGAGAAGUCUGCUGUAGCAACUCGUAUUGUGUCAAAAUUGAAUUGCAAUGACUCAACAAUUUUAAUUUCACCUUCAUCUUCAUCGGCAUCUUCCUCUUCUUCUUUAACUUCACGUGGGAAACAGAUUUAAACUAGUUAGUUUUUCGAAUAGAAGAACAAUACCGCUGUCGGUGGUGCAUUCGGGGGUGUUUGUCUGCUUCUAAUUUACUUUGACUAUAUAGGAUUAAAUUGGACAUAAAAAUAUAUUGAUAACUGGACUUGCCUGGAAGAUUUUUUCUUGCCUUUAGCCUCCUUAAGUAAAGGAAGAGACAAAUGAGGAAAAGAACAACGACAACAGUUGGCACCACUACGGCAAUGACAAUUAUUGUUGUGUUGUCACUUUCUGCAGAAACAAUAAUCCUUUGCCCGGUAAGACAUUUCAAGGAUGAAGAAUUGUAAAAUACCAAAAUGCCUAAUAAUUGCAAGUUAAUUACAGAGGAAGUGGGCAGCGGGAUGAAUAAGGAAAACAAAACUCCAGAAAGAAGAAAAUGUGUUAAAAGUGGAUUAUGAAGUGAGGUUUGGGCGAAAUGCAAUAAUUAGGCUAUAGGAAAAUUGAGAAGAAAAAGAAGUACCUUGUGAGGAAGUGGUAUUGGUGGAGGGAGGAGGUGCCUCCGGAUCUGGGUCUAAUGUAGUUGUAGCUCCGUAGAAGCUAUAAGUUUCGAAUCUAAUAUUACAACUUGGUCUAAGAACUCUACCACCUACCUUUCCAUUGCAGCAGGUUGGGAUCUCUGAGAUAACCCCAUCUAAGCAUUGAGUACACUCCUGCUGAGACAAAUCAGGGGUGCACUGCACAAGCCCAUAUAUGGUUUGAAAAUUUAAACCAGUUGCAUUUUCCGCUGUAGCAUACUUACGACGGGAGUCACCUGAUGCAGCUGUGUCUUUUAGGCUCUUCAUUAAGUUCCCGAGCACUUCAUUGAACUGAGUCGCGUCUGUUGCAUUUGCUGUGUUCCACAUGUAAUAACGAGGAGAAGUUUCCAUUUGAUGGAAUAUUGUGUAGUUAGAGUAGCGCAACAUGCAUUGAUCGGACCACAUGAUUGCCUUCUUCUGGUUUGGACACCUCUCUGUUAGAUCGACUCUGGAAUUGUUGAGGCAGCUGCGGCACUCCUCUGGCUGUUGAUCUCCUCUACAGAGCCCUAUGGCGUAUACUGUGUCAGUGUUUUGGCCAUAUGAAAAGUUGUAAAAACCGUAUUCAAUUUGUGUGUUGGAAGAGAGAGUGGACAAGAGGGUGUUGAGGUUGGUGCUGUAGGUGCUGUUGGCUGUGUAGUUGCCGUGGCCGUCGUCACAUAAAAUUUUCUGGGCGCUGCCUAGAGAUAUAAAUUUAAGAAAUGGAAAAGAAAGAAAGAGAAUAAGCAUGUAGGAGACGGCUGCCAUUCUGAUAUUUGUGUGGGUAAUCAGAUUCAGAAUCACAAAGAGAAUAUUGAAGCUUUGGGUGUAUGAUCAUCAAUGCCCAAACUUCCCUUCAGUCAUAUUUAUAAAACAUACUAUUCAUUUCUAAUUUUGCUUCCAUACGAUAUCUAUGGCUGUCUUUGAUUUUUAUUCUCUAUUUAUUGAAUAAAUGUUUACAUACUAUAAUUUAAUCAGUGGUUCGAUCAAUUAAUGCAUUUUUUAAUUAGGCCGUCAAGAUUACGAAAUUUGAAGGAAGGUGAUGCCAGAGUCAACGGCGACCGAAGUGCGUAGAGACAAAAGAGGAAACAGGAACAAAUAAAUACUUUUCUUCUGUUUAGAAAUUAGAAAUAUAAAUUAAUAGUAAAAUAAACUCAACAUUUAAAAAGCCCAUUCCUAUUAUUUUCUUUAUUAGUAAUUCGCUAUGGUAACAAGUGUCACUAAAAAUAAAAAAUAUUAUUAUAUUUUUUUAAUUAUGUUUUACUUUAUCAAAUUUUGAUGAAUAUAGUUUUGAUCCCAAUUUUUUAAAAAAUUCUCAAAUAUAAAAAUAUAGUGUUUUAGUUCUUUAAAUUUAUUAUUUAAAAAUAAAAUUAAUUUUAAAUUUUAAAUUUAGUUUUCAGAAACUUGAAAUAUUUUUAAAAAAAAAAUUUAAGGACUAAAAUAUUUUUUCAAAAAUUAAAAAACUUAAAUGAGAUUUAUUUCAAAUUUUAAAGACUAAAAAUAUAAUUAAAGUUAAAUUUUAGUGUUUAAAAGAAAACAUAAUUCUUUUGAUGUUUUUAAUAUCUCUUUUGUCCAACUAUUCGUUCAAGGAUUUAAAGAAAUUUAUAUUUUUUAAAAAUAUAAUUUUAUUAGUAAAAUUAUAUAAUAUUGAAGCAUCAAAAUGAAGGAGCUUUUCACAAAUUUUAUUUAGUAAAAUAAAAAGUAAUUUAUAAUAUUCUACACUAACGAUAUAACUAGGUUUUACAAAAUGCAUAUAUUGUUUUAUGAUUAAAAAAUAUCCAAAAAUACAUAUACUUUGUAAAUUAUAAUUACUCAAUUUAUUUUUACAUUAUAAAAAAAUAGUAGAAACAGAAUUCUUACAUUUGUGUAUCCGCAUUCUUAUUAUUAUUCAUAUCUUUCACACAAAAAUUCUAUAAGAAACACGAUCUCCUUUCAAAAUUCUAAUUUACCAAAAUCAAACAUAUAUAAGUAAUUCAACUACUCCAACUCCACGAAUAAAGAGAAAUAGCAAUGAAUUGAAGUUUAAUCCUUAAAUCCCUCACCACUUCAAUCUUCUUCCAUCUCUGAUCCAAAAAACAAUGGAUGUGCUAAAAUAUGUGGUAUCGUUGAGUUUCUCUCAUUCUCCUCUCCUCUUCAAUUUAUUCAACUGUGAGCAACGCAAUAGAGAUCUCGAUCGAUCUUUCUCUUAAAAGAUUUGUUCACCCAGGUUCAAAGAGAUUUGUGGUGUGGACUACAUAUGGUACAACUCAUUGUUUUAAAUUCUAUUGGAGUGGAAUGGAGCAGACAAGAGUGAGUGAAUAUGAAAAUUAUUUCUUUGAUAUGUAAGUUUUGGGUGUGGUAACCGAACGAGAAUGUGCUCUCUCUUUUUACUGUUGUUGUCUUCUUCUUAUUAUUGAUAUUAAUAUUCAUAUUUUUUUCAUUUUAUAAUUUAUUUAUUUAUUUUAAUAUUAUAAUUUUUUCUUUAAUUAAAUUAAAAAAAUAAUUAAACUCAAAUUACUUUUCCAAUUUAAUUCUAACAACGUAAUAAAUCUUAAAAUUAUUUCAAUUCCCUAUAACCUUCUUUUAUAUUUUCAUUUUUUUUCAUUGCUUUUAAUUCCCAUCAAGAACUAUACGAAUCCAAAUUUGUAUGUAAAAAUCCGUAUAUAAUGCUCACUUUACAUACAGAUCUGGAUCUGUAAAUCGGUAUGUAACACUUACUUUACGUACGGAUCUGGAUCCGUAUGUAAUGUUCACUUUAUAUACGGAUCUGAAUCCGUAUGUAAAAAUCUGUAUGUAACGCUCAUUUUACAUACGGAUCCAAAUCUGUAUGUAAAAAUUCAUAUGUAAUGCUCACUUUACAUGCGAAUCUGAAUCCGUAUGUAAUAAUCGAUAUGUAAAUAACAAAUUUCUUGUAGUGUUAGGACACCUUCUUAACAUCACUUUAAAACGUUCCCAAGCUUCACAAAAAGGUUCAUCUGACCCUUGCUUGAAUGUGGAGAUAUCAUACUUAACUUUGAUAUAUCGAGAAAGUGGGAAGAACCUAUAUAGGAAUUUCUCUUCUACAUCGUUCCAGCUACUUAAACUCUGGUUUGGAUGAGACUUUAACUAUUCUUUUGCUUUGUCUGCCAGUGAGAAAGGAAAUAGACGCAAAUAAAAAAAUUCAAUAUCAUUUUCCUCAAAGCCCAUGGUCUUAACCAACUCAUAGAAUGUGGAAAGAUGAGUAUAAGGGUCUUCAUGAUCCAUUACAGUGAAUUUUUGAGUGUUGAUUAAGCUAAGAAAAGUUUGCUUCAUUUCUAAUGAUUUGGUGGCAGAAGGCAUGGCUAUGCUGCAGAAAUGCCUCGGUCCUUGUUGCAUGGCUUAGUCUCUCAAUGUUCUUCUAGGUGGAUUUUGUCUAUUAUCAGUCAUUUGUAACUUUGUUUGAUUGUGUGAGUUGAAAGUGUUAGAAAAUUCCUCCUUUUGCUUGUCCUUCCUUCUUCUUUUCUUUCUCUUCUUACUCUAACUUCUUCUAACUGUCUUCUCAAUUUAUGGGUCAAAUUCCAAUUGAACUUCAGGAACCUAUCCUCGUAAUAGCAUAUAUCUAAGACAACUCAAGCAAGGAUUAGCACAGGAUAAAAGAAUAAGAUCUACACAAGUGUCUAUUCACAAAGAAAACAAACUAUUCACAAUACUUAUACUUUAGAAAUUCUUAAAAGAAAUUGUUCCUCGACAAUGGUGCCAAAAACUUGUUGAUUUAUCCCGACAAGUAUACUGAAUCAAUUGUAAUAUAGUAUUACUUAAAGUACGAAUGUCGAAAUCACAGGGAACAAUUUUAAUUAAGAUGUUCUGUUAUAAAACUCAUCAAGUAUAGAAAAUGACUUUGAGAACUUUUUCAUAACCAAAUUAACACUUUUACCAUAAAUAACUCAAAGUUUAAGAUGUGAUUCAACAAGUAACGAAACUAACUUAUCAAAUAUAGAUAAAAAAUACUUGGGAUUGAAUUGCGUCUAUCUCAAUCAUCGGUAUCUUGGAAUAAUACAAUAUAUAAUACUAAAAAAAUACUUAUUCUUUAUGCUUAAUUUAAAUUCAUUCACCUUGAUUCCUCACCGAUGAAAUUCAGAAGAUAAUUUCUCAAAUAUUGAUUCCUCAGAUAUCUAACAAAUCAUCUUGCUUUAUGAAAAAAAAUUAUGAUGCAAUUAAUAACCUGAAAUUUAUUCCUAGCAUUACAAGUUAUCAAAUAUUUUCGUCUAUUUCAGAUCCUUAAAAAUACUUUCCAGUUAAAUUUAAGGAUCAAAAUCAAGACUCCAUUUAUCAAAUAGAAUCCAACAAUAAGCAUGAAACGAAAAUACCAAGAACAAGUAGAAAAGAGAAUAUUAUAUAUAUAUAUAUAUAUCACCAAGAAUACAUUUGACCAGAGUAGAUUACAUUCAAUCUCAAGUUUGAAAGCACUUAGCCGCUCAUGAUAGCUCCUUCAAUCUUCAUUCUUGAUCUGGAUUGCAUAAGAAGGGCUAAUCUGAGCAAGUUCUUCUCCUAAGAAGAGAGUUUUCUUCUUCUUCUUCUUCUUCUCUCACUAAUUUCUUCCAAUCUCUUUCAUCUUCUUUUCCAUCGCCUUUGCUUUAACUCUGUUCCAUAAUUUAUUUAAUGAAAUUUAGCUCAAGCGAGCCAAUCUAGUUUAGGCUAGAUCAUUCAGUGCUAUUUUAGCUUGGACGAGCAAUUCUAGCCUGAGCUAGAUUAAUACUCCACCAUUAAUUUAAUCUGGAUAAUUUUAGCCUGAGUUAAAUCUUCUAGCUUGAGCGAGAUGUUUCCUUUAAAUUUUCCUUCUUUACUCCUUCUUGUGAUCCAUUUAAGUCUUUGCUUUCUUCCUUUUAAUGCUUCAUAUUCAUAUGAAAUUUACACAAAAAUUGAGAUUAAAUUUCUUCAUUUGUUUCCCGGUUCAAAAUAUAUAAUUGGGUUCAAUAAUUCUCAGAUUAAAGUAAUUUUCUGACAUUAAGCAACAAUUAAGUUCCAAAGUAUUCUAUUUUCUCAAUUAUAAAUACUACACAUUGGCACUUGUCAUGUGUGUGUUAUAACAAUAUUUGCAUUAAAAAUAAGACCUUGUACCUUCAAUAGAAGUCAACUUCUGAGUUUAACUUGAGUGAGGGUUGGCUAAGAGAGAAACCGCUAAGUUGUAAUUUUCAUUCCCCUGUGGAUGUUGAUUGAAGUUCGUUAAUACUAUAAUCGAACUACGUUAACUUUUUCUUCUCUUCUUCCUCAAUUAUUGUUUAACUUUAAUAGUCUAGUUUUAUGAUUUCUCUCUUAUUGUUUCUAUUUGCAUGGCAAACAUUUUGCAUCGAAUUUUAUUGAACUAUUUCCUUAUAAACUGCUUUGGUGAGCGUGAAACUUCGGUCAUCGUGAUUUUGUUGAGAAAUUCAUCACUCUAAAUGAUUUCGGAUUGUGGCGGUUGAACAUGCAAACUUUUCCAGUUUAACAAGGUCUCUUUAAAGUUUUGGAAGGUGAAUAUAUGUUUGUUGUAUCCAUGGCGGAGAAAGACAAGAUAACAUUGUUAGAGAGAAGUCACAAUGGAAUUGUUCUUAGCCUUAAUGAUAAGGUGUUGAGAUAAAUCUCGAAAGAGAAGACUACAACAAAAUUAUGGACAAAGCUUAGAACUUGUACAUGGCAAAGUUCUAUACCUAAAACAAGCAUUGUACUCAUCCUAGACUAAAACAAGUUGAUCCUUGUUCUUUCUAGAUAUUUUAGAGAGCAUUUCCUAAAUACAUCAAUAAAUAAUAAAAAAAAAAUUGCAUAUUAAUUAAAGAUGGUCAUAUAUCAGGUUCCAAUCUAAGGUAGGCAAAAAUAAUGUAUUUAAACAAGAUUUGUCACUAUAAGAUAUUGUAUUUUGGUGUAAGAGAAGAAACAUGAAUGAUGAAUAUCAUCUAAUGAGGGUAUAGCUCAGUAAUUGAAGCUUCAUUUUCUGAUUCUUGAGCCAAUUUAAGUAUCGGUUCACUUGAUCAUGCUUCCCGUGAAUUAUACUCCCAUGACUGCAUCUAUGGAAGGAUUCUAGUUCUACUGUUCAUAUAAAAUGCUGGUUCUGUAGGAAUCGGGAGACUCAGAGAAUAACUGUUAAGCAUCAACAUAAUGUUAGUCAUGGUAGGUGAAAUGCAAUAAUAAGGCUAAAGGAAAAUUGAGAAGAAAAAGAAGUACCUUG
rnacentral:lncRNA from 1 species